AAAUUGAAGAGUUUGAUCAUGGCUCAGAUUGAACGCUGGCGGCAGGCCUAACACAUGCAAGUCGAACGGUAACAGGAAGCAGCUUGCUGCUUCGCUGACGAGUGGCGGACGGGUGAGUAAUGUCUGGGAAACUGCCUGAUGGAGGGGGAUAACUACUGGAAACGGUGGCUAAUACCGCAUAACGUCGCAAGACCAAAGAGGGGGACCUUCGGGCCUCUUGCCAUCAGAUGUGCCCAGAUGGGAUUAGCUUGUUGGUGAGGUAACGGCUCACCAAGGCGACGAUCCCUAGCUGGUCUGAGAGGAUGACCAGCCACACUGGAACUGAGACACGGUCCAGACUCCUACGGGAGGCAGCAGUGGGGAAUAUUGCACAAUGGGCGCAAGCCUGAUGCAGCCAUGCCGCGUGUAUGAAGAAGGCCUUCGGGUUGUAAAGUACUUUCAGCGGGGAGGAAGGUGUUGUGGUUAAUAACCACAGCAAUUGACGUUACCCGCAGAAGAAGCACCGGCUAACUCCGUGCCAGCAGCCGCGGUAAUACGGAGGGUGCAAGCGUUAAUCGGAAUUACUGGGCGUAAAGCGCACGCAGGCGGUCUGUCAAGUCGGAUGUGAAAUCCCCGGGCUCAACCUGGGAACUGCAUUCGAAACUGGCAGGCUUGAGUCUUGUAGAGGGGGGUAGAAUUCCAGGUGUAGCGGUGAAAUGCGUAGAGAUCUGGAGGAAUACCGGUGGCGAAGGCGGCCCCCUGGACAAAGACUGACGCUCAGGUGCGAAAGCGUGGGGAGCAAACAGGAUUAGAUACCCUGGUAGUCCACGCCGUAAACGAUGUCUACUUGGAGGUUGUGCCCUUGAGGCGUGGCUUCCGGAGCUAACGCGUUAAGUAGACCGCCUGGGGAGUACGGCCGCAAGGUUAAAACUCAAAUGAAUUGACGGGGGCCCGCACAAGCGGUGGAGCAUGUGGUUUAAUUCGAUGCAACGCGAAGAACCUUACCUGGUCUUGACAUCCACAGAACUUUCCAGAGAUGGAUUGGUGCCUUCGGGAACUGUGAGACAGGUGCUGCAUGGCUGUCGUCAGCUCGUGUUGUGAAAUGUUGGGUUAAGUCCCGCAACGAGCGCAACCCUUAUCCUUUGUUGCCAGCGAUUAGGUCGGGAACUCAAAGGAGACUGCCAGUGAUAAACUGGAGGAAGGUGGGGAUGACGUCAAGUCAUCAUGGCCCUUACGACCAGGGCUACACACGUGCUACAAUGGCGCAUACAAAGAGAAGCGACCUCGCGAGAGCAAGCGGACCUCAUAAAGUGCGUCGUAGUCCGGAUUGGAGUCUGCAACUCGACUCCAUGAAGUCGGAAUCGCUAGUAAUCGUGGAUCAGAAUGCCACGGUGAAUACGUUCCCGGGCCUUGUACACACCGCCCGUCACACCAUGGGAGUGGGUUGCAAAAGAAGUAGGUAGCUUAACCUUCGGGAGGGCGCUUACCACUUUGUGAUUCAUGACUGGGGUGAAGUCGUAACAAGGUAACCGUAGGGGAACCUGCGGUUGGAUCACCUCCUUA
rnacentral:rRNA from 11 species